UACGAAGGGGGCUAGCGUUGCUCGGAUUGACUGGGCGUAAAGGGCGCGUAGGCGGUCUGUUGCGUCGGGAGUGAAAACUUACAGCUUAACUGUGAGCGUGCUUUCGAUACGGGCAGACUUGAGGCAUUCAGGGGAGAACGGAAUUCCUGGUGUAGCGGUGAAAUGCGCAGAUAUCAGGAGGAACACCGGUGGCGAAGGCGGUUCUCUGGGAAUGUCCUGACGCUGAGGAGCGAAAGUGUGGGGAGCGAACAGG
rnacentral:rRNA from 1 species